rnacentral:piRNA from 1 species
UGGAAAAUGGAGGUCAUCUAUCCUGUGAGG